CACGACCGUAGCUGAGAUCCCUGGUCUUCAAACUCAAAACCAGAAGCAAGAAGAUGUUGCAAUGUGUGUGUCCACCCUCAACAACCAGACGGAGAAAGUGUUCACAAUAAGGAAUGCUACAGCUCACGACUGUGAUGAUAUCCUACGCCUCAUCAAAGUAAGAACAUGACAUUGACUUUUAAAUGCCCUUGAAUUCUUUGUGUGACCUUUGUACAGCUUGAGUAACCUUAUUGUACCAUUGCUUUCCUGCUUGAUAGGAACUUGCAGAUUACGAACACAAGGAAAAUGCAGUAAAACUAACUGAAAAAGGU